rnacentral:lncRNA from 1 species
UUUAUAUAACAAACAGAAUAAUACAUGGGUGCUUGGAAAUACCAGAUUUAUUUCUCGUGUUGAACAUGAUAUCUCACUUGUUCGCUGCGCUCACUCGUGAGAUAUCAUGUUCAACACUCGAAAUAAAUCUGGUAUUUGCGCGCACCCAUGUAUUAUUCUCUAUGUAGUUUACAAUUAAAUCAUGCUUGAUCAGGGCCGGUGGUGUAAUUUAACACCCC